rnacentral:pre_miRNA from 1 species
GGUUUUGACACGAGGUGGCCUGUGGUGGAUUUGCUUUAUUUCUGACCCACAUCGCACGGCAACCUCUUUGCAGAUC